rnacentral:rRNA from 1 species
GCUAAUACCGGAUAGGACGAAAGUUUAAAGGUGCUCCUGGCACCGCUGAUGGAUGAGCCUGCGGCGCAUUAGCUAGUUGGUAGGGUAAAGGCCUACCAAGGCGACGAUGCGUAGCCGACCUGAGAGGGUGAACGGCCACACUGGGAGUGAGACACGGCCCAGACUCCUACGGGAGGCAGCAGUAGGGAAUCUUGGGCAAUGGGCGAAAGCCUGACCGAGCAAAGCCGCGUGAAUGAUGAAGGCCUUCGGGUGUAA